rnacentral:lncRNA from 1 species
AACACACAUAAACUAUUUAUUCGUUCUUACACACUGAUGCGAGUAGGUGGUAGGUAAAUAUACACAACACUUUCCACACACGCACAAACAAGGUAGUAGUACACGACACGCACACACAUGACUGAUCACGGCUCAGCGGCACUUAUUUAUGGCUAACUCAGUAGCUAGCUCGACUACUGGUGCAUCAGUUCACGACUAGUGGCGCGUCGACGCGAUCAGGCGGUCGAGCCGCAUGAAGCGCAGUUGCAGGCCGCGCCGCAGGAGCAGUUGGACCGCCUAUUCUCCCGCCCGGACGGCGUCCCCUCGCGCCCGCACGCGCACGGGUUGCACCCACAGUGCUCGCCGCACGCGCACGUGGUGUGCUCCGCGCCGCUCCUCGCCGAGGUGCACCUGCAGCCCGUGCCGCCGGGGCACGGCACGGCGCACCCGCACUUGUCGUCGCAGCCCAUCUCGAUCUUCUCAGGCGUUGCCUUGCACGUAGCUCUUUUCUCAGUUCACGACUAUGGCCACACUCGAUGCCAGAGCACGGAGCUGUAAGGGGUGCGCCGCGUGCGUGACUAUAUGAAGGGCGGGCUUAAGCGGUGGCACGUCUUUCGGGCGUCCGAACUGCCGGCGUGUGGCAGGCCACAGCGGGCGAAGUCCACGUGGGGUACACGGCAGGACUUAGGGAUGAUGUGGUGGCACGUACGCGCGGCCGCCACGGCAGGAGACGUGUACAGUACAACAAUGUCCAAGGCACGGGCAUGUAUAUCCGGUAGAUGGAGCAGCGCAUUUAUAUUGUGAACGUAAAAGUGAUUGAGAGAAUGAACUUUUAAUUUCACUGAUUGAAUUUUAGGGCACACACACAUUGAUGAGUUCUUUCUUUGGAAAUAAUACUUGUAUUACUCAACACUCAAAGAUUAUAAUCACGACUGACAAUGCCCAGGAGUUCAUCCAGAUCCGAACCAAGCCACACAAUAAUUCGGCAUUGUGAUCGUCCAAAACUGGAGUUAAUACAUGUUUUAGUACAUAAAACUUGUGAUGGUGGGAACAAUUCCAUAAAAAACUAAAAAAAAAUACCUAAAUAUAAGUCUUUUAAGAUAUAUCAUUAGAUGUCUACAUACAAAGCAAAUGAAUGAAUCUAUACUUUAAAAUAUGUCUAUAUACAUCCGUAUGUAGUCCAUUAGUUGAACCUCUAGAAAGACUUAUAUUUAAAAACAGAGGGAGUAGUACAUGAAGCCUACUGAUGUAACAAAUACAUACAAAUCGUUUACAGCGUGACAUUUGGCAAGCCACGUCGGAUGAAGGCACGUCCAGGGCGUUUUGUUAUGUUUUAGAAAGCCUCCUCAAGAUACAAAAAAUUGUAACGUGUCGUAUAACCGAAAUCCUUUGAUGGCCUACUGGUACACUAAUUGUUGCUGUACACUACUGGUCUUGGGUUUGAUUCCCAGCACCCUAGUUUUCGUUGUCAAUAUUUUUUGUCAUGUUAAGCAGAAGCAAAAUUCAGUCAUGUUACACCAGAAGCAGAAUUCAGUCUUUUUGAUAGCAAAAGAAAAAUCUGUCAGCAAACAAAAUAGAUGUUAAUAUUGGACAGGUGCAGAAAAACCGAUGUAGAAGCUUAUGUUUGCACUGAAUUUGACAGGAAACAAAAUAGAUGUUAAAACUUAGAGAUAAUACAUGUUUUAGUACACAAACUUGUGGUGAUGGAACAGUUUCAUACAAAAACUUAAAAAAACCCAAAAAAUAGUACAUGAAGUCUACUAAUGUAACAAAUGCAUAAAAUUCUGACUGAACCAGUCCGCGUGGAGUGCCACGUUAACAACCUGGCGGGCCGGAGCUGCAUUUAUGCAAAAAAAAGCUCGGACUUAUCGUAAAAUUCAGUAUUCCGUCCUUACUCGUGCAUGCUGAAUAGAGUUUCAGAAAAGCACCCUCCACUCGCGCAUCCGACGCCCACGUAACCCCUCCCCAAACCCUUCCCUUGUCUCCUCCUUGAGGCCUCGUUUGGUUAAGGGGGAUUGGUAGGAGAGGUUUGCUUAGCCCAAUCCCCUCCGUUCCCCUUCAAUCCCUUCCUAUCCAUGUGUUUCAAAACCCUCCUCAGAGGACUAGUGGAAGCAAAGCCCCGGGGAUUUGAGAGGAUUGGGUGGAACAAAGGGAUUCACCCAAUCUCCUGAAAUCCCUCCCUUUCAAAACCUCACCAAUCCCCCUUAACCAAACGAGGCCUGACGGCGACCGCAAUCGUAGGACUGGGGUGGCGGCGCCCGCGAUCGAUGGAGCCGCGGCUUCAGGAACCAGGGGAUUUCCCUCCCAAGUAUGGUAUGUACCAAAUCCAUUCUUGUGUACCGCAAUUGAGGCCUGGGUUUGGUUAGGUUUAGGUGGCCCAGAUGAUCAAUCCAUGUUCGUCAUAUUUUGUGCCAAAAGGUAGGUGUUUCCUGUGAGGAUUGGUAUGAGUUUUCUGUGAAGAACUGAUAGUAGACUUGAUUUUUGGGGGUCGAGGCUAGGUUCUGUAGUUGAUCUCCUCCUCUUGUAGUUUGUCUGCUGCUGUUGUAGUUCUUCUACUGCUAUUGGUAAGGAUUAAAGAGGUGAUUUUAGCAUUCAGAAUCCGUUGAAGAUACUCAUGUCGAUAGGAAUACAUGCAUCUGUACUGUUGUUUGUAGCGUUGUAAUGUUGUCCAUGUGUUAAGUCCAUGUCUGCUGAUGAAAACUUCAGUUUUUAACUUCAUAUGUCUACUGCAAUUUCAGUUCAAAACUGUGUGUACUACAAUUUCAGUUCUAGAUUAAGAGAGUGGGCAGAACACUGAACUUAAGAUCAGUGCAAAAUGAAGUGUGUACUGCAAUUUCAGUUUACAAGAGUGGAUUUUCAUUUAUGAAAGUGUGCAUUUUUCACAGAGAGUGCAUUUUUAACAAGUGUUCAUUUCUAUUGCAUUUUUCAGUUACUAAUAUGUUCACGUGCACAUAUCUUUAGAUACAAAUAUGUUAGUACAUUUACUGCCAUAUCUCUUUUCAUUUAGAGUUAUCUUCACUGCACAUGUCCAUUUUCACUUAUAUAUUUCUCCAAUUAUAGUUUUAUUCACUGCAUAUGUCCAUUUACAUGUUGAAUUGUCUACAUAAGUAAUUUAGUUGCUGAGUUUUGAAAUGUUCCACUUUCUGCAGUGACAAAUGGAGAAGAUAGUCAGUUGUUUUCAGUUGAAUUUGAGCACAAUGGGAUAUUUAUAGGGCAGGGUACAACUACAAACAGAUGAUAUACAAACAUUGAAUGUACAGAUGAUACUUUCGACUAUUGCCAUGUUGAUACAUGGUCAUUGGGCAUUGUGAAGUACUAUUUGUCCAUGCUAGAUUAUGAUCCCACUGAUCCAUUGGUGAAAGUGUAUUGGGUUUUGCCAGGGAAAGAUAUUGUGGAUGGCCUUGUUUGUGUGGACACUGAGGAAACAGUUGCUGCUAUGGUCACUGCAAGCAAAGAAGCUAAAACAUUGGAUGUAAUAGUGGAUGAGGAAAAAAAAGGACUUUGUAUGGUGAUCAUCUUAUACUCAAUAGAUGUCCAUCACUAUAUAUGGCAGUAGAAGUUGAAGCUCAAAUAGAUGAAGAAGAAGAAAUAGAAGGUCCUUCAAUUCUUCAGGCAUGUCACUGAAUUUUGCAACAUAUACACUUUUGCAAGUUACCAAAUUCUGCAACAUAGAUUGGCGGGGAUAUAGCCCUAGGAUAGGGUCAUAGGUCUGACCAAUACGUCCUAACCAAGGGCACCUCAUUAUUAGUUUAAGGACUACAAGGAAAAUUCCUACUGGAUCGUGACAACAUCUAAUCCACUCGGAUGACAGUCAACCACUCGGCUGUAUGACUCACUCGGUCAUGCGAAUACCAACAGUCGGCAAGGCAUCUGUAGUGGGCUGACAUUAUGGCAUCAAUGCCCCAUCUUGUAACAUAAGAGGUGAGGAGGUGGCGCACUCUAUAUAAGCCACUCCCCUCCACAUAGCUAGAGGCUAGGCUUCUUCUCCCCAUGUGGGCUCAUUCCUUCCCUGGAGCUCUGGCUCUCUCUAUACCAUGUAACUCAUGUCCAUGACAGAUAAAACAAAGCCUCUCCGGAGCACGAGACGUAGGGUNNNNNNNNNNNNNNNNNNNNNNNNNNNNNNNNNNNNNNNNNNNNNNNNNNNNNNNNNNNNNNNNNNNNNNNNNNNNNNNNNNNNNNNNNNNNNNNNNNNNNNNNNNNNNNNNNNNNNNNNNNNNNNNNNNNNNNNNNNNNNNNNNNNNNNNNNNNNNNNNNNNNNNNNNNNNNNNNNNNNNNNNNNNNNNNNNNNNNNNNNNNNNNNNNNNNNNNNNNNNNNNNNNNNNNNNNNNNNNNNNNGAGCACGAGACGUAGGGUUGUUAUCUCCACUGUGAGAGGCCUGAACUCGCUAAAACCACCGUGUCACCCAUGUGCAUCUUGAUAGAUCAUGCUCCGUUAUCCUACCCUCUUUCUAUUGUCGGAAUCAUUACCACGACAUUUGGCGCCGACCGUGGGGCUAUGGCGUCUAUCGAGCCAUGAUGCAUAUGGUUAUUUCUUCAAUCACCGGCGUCGUCCGCCUCAUGGUCGUCAUGCGUUGCCACUGGUGUCGUCCAUCCUGUCGCCGUCAUCGACCUCGGCACAACCGACUGCACCUCGUAUGCGACGUCGUCGUUAAGCACUUAAGCGUGGCUACCGGCAACGGUCGCCUUAUCGUCGUGAUGUGCGGCCGCCGGCGCCGUCUGCCUCGUCGUCGUCUCCAACCACGUUGAGCCCAAACGCCGCCACCGUUCACCUCGUCGUCGACACGAGCCUUGUGUUCUCGGCCACUCGAGGGCGACCUACGCGAUGGAAGUGCGGGCUCCGUGCGGUGCGGGCGCGCAAUGCUUCUUCCUUCAACGCCGGCCACCGGCGAGGUCUCUGUGACCGAGGCGCACAGCAACGGCGACCUACGAAUCAGCCUCGACUUGCAAGGCUGCAACUGAUGGCCAUCCAAUGCUUCGUAAGUGCGUGCGUUACGUGGGCCCGCUCCUUGAUUAGAUUAACUGCAUGCAGGAAAAACGGAAACAGAAGAACGUGGUCUUCAUAGUCCUUCAUGGGAUGGGCUGACGGUUUGCAUAAGGUAAUGGCCUCAUUAACCGGCUCAUCAGGUGAGGAUUGAUGACCUCGGUUUCCUAAUUAGUGCGGCCAAAACAUCUGCCACACUGUUUCCAUCAACGGCCAAUCGUGCAUGCAUGCAUGCAUAUUCAUUUGUGGUUUUUAUUCAUUGCAAAUUAGCAACUAUACAGGACACUUAGUCCAUCAAAAAAUAUUCGUAGCUAUGGUUACUACUAACUUGCAGAUCACUCGUCCGUUGUCGUCUGCGGACAACGGUUUACUCGGACGGGCAUUUCAUUCGAACUACUAAUACGAUGACGCGUAGAUGAAAUUUAUGUACACACGAGCAACAUGCAGCGAGUCGGCUGCCCCGCGUGUUGCCACUCUGCAGAACGCGUCUACAUUAAUCGGCCGCCGCACGCAUCGCCACUCCGCAGGAUGCGUCUUCAUCAUUCGGCCGUCCCGCAUGUCGCCACUCCGUGUGGCACGUCUUCAUCAUUCGGCCGCCCCGCGCGUCGCCAUACAAUCAGACACGACGGAAUCAAUCGGCUGCCCCGGGCGUCAUCACUCAAUCGGACGCGUCGUCAUCACUCGGCUACUUUACGGGCCGUCACUCAGUCGGACGCGUCGUCAUCAAUCGGUCGCCCCGCGCGCCGUCCCUCAGUCGGACACGUCGUCAACACUCGACCACCCCGUGCGCCGUCGCUCAGUCGAACGGGUCGUCAACACUGGGCCGCCCCGUGCGCCGCCCCUCAGUCGGACGCGUCGUCAUCACUCCGCCGCCCCGCGCGCCGUCCCUCAGUCGGAUACGUCGUCAACACUGGGCCGCCCCGUGCGCCGCCCCUCAGUCAGACACGUCGUCAUCACUCGGCCGCCCUGCAUGCCAUGCUCAGUCAGACGUGUCGUCAGCACUCGACUGCUUCACGCGUCGUUAGCCAGCUAAGUCAUUCUUCACACUGUGCAUUCAGUUAAAUAAUUAUUUAUGCAUUAACGAGUGUCAAGUAAGUCGCGUAUGACGUUCACUCGGAGGUCACGCCAUCGAGUGUACCUCUGCACUCGGUUGUUUAUUUUUAUGUGGGAACACUUCACUUCCGCUUCGUUUGGGUCCAGUACUCAAACGAGUUCAGCCGUAUCCUUCACUCUUUUAGACUCUUGCUGGUUCUAAACCAGCAAUCACGUGGCACAUCCACUGGGUGUGUGCAAUUUACACGAACUAUUUCAAAAAAUAUCAUAUUACUUUGAUAAUUUUUUAAGCUGGCUUGUGCUAUUUUUCAUACACAGGUUACUUGACGCAUCCGUGCGCCAUCCUCGUCGCUGCUCAGGCUCAGUCGCCGCAACGAUCAUUCAUGCGUUUUCACGUGUUCGGAAGCCCCCGCAAUGACGUAGUGGACACGGCUGCCCCGCGUGCCGUUACUGGGUCGGACGCCUCCUCGGCAUACAUCACUUGGCCGCCCCGCGCGUUGCCACUCAGCCAGAAUCGUCUACCUCUCCCGGAUGCCAUGCGCAUCGCCACUCCGUGUGGCACGUCUUCAUCAUUCGGCUGCCCCGCGCGACAUCGCUCCACACUCGGGGGCUUAGAUGCGACUCCAUAUCGCCUAAGUAAAAACAACUCCGAGUANGUAUCGCCUAAGUAAAAAACAACUCUGAGUGCGGACAUGCUCCACACUCGGGGGCUUAGCUGCGACUCCGUAUCGCCUAAGUUAAAACUACUCCGAGUGCGGACAUGCUCCACACUCGGGGGCUUAGCUGCGACUCCGUAUCGCCUAUGUUAAAAACAACUCUGAGUGCGGACACACUCCGCACUCGGGGGCUUCACUGCGACUCGGUAUCGCCUAAGUAAAAAACUACUCCGUGUACAGACACGCUCCACACUCGGGAACUUAGCUGCGACCCCGUAUCGCCUAAGUUAAAAAAUACACUGAGAGACUUGACUUUGAUCCAGAAAUCAUAUAAUGCAGAUUCAACAAACAUUCAACAUGACAAGCACUGGAAGUCUUAAACCCUCUGCCAGACUCAUCUAGUCCGAUAGAGGCUCGGGGACUACACCCAAUGGGUGCACUGAGCGUGCCCCCACAGGAAGAGAAAUACAAAAAAAACAUUCUGCUUGGUCAGGUCCAGCAACAACAUUCAAGUUCAACAGAUUCAACAGACUCCAACCGACUACCAACAAUCAGUUAGAGUCUCAAGAUCAUGUUGGUCACUCGGAUCUACUUCAAUUCUCAAGUUCACUUGGACAUACUACUCAGCAGAAUUGAUCAGGGCGAAUGAUGGAUACUUCAAUCGACGUGCAGUUCUGUAAGGCUCUGAAGCACGUUCAAGUUCGGUCUGCGGCUACAAGAUUUACAUCAACACCUUCACCACUCGGACCCUGAUCCAUUCGGGGGAUAAUGACGGGGAUAUAGCCCUAGGGUAGGGUCAUAGGUCUGACCAAUACGUCCUACCCAAGGGCACCUCAUUAUUAGUUUAAGGACUACUAGGGAAAUUCCUACUGGAUCGUGACAACAUCUAAUCCACUCGAAUGACAGUCAACCACUCGGCUGUAUGACUCAGUCGGUCAUGCAAAUACCAACAGUCGGCAAGGCAUCUGUAGUGGGCUGACAUUAUGGCAUCAAUGCCCCAUCUUGUAACAUAAGAGGUGAGGAGAUGGCGCACUCUAUAUAAGCCACUCCCCUCCACAUAGCUAGAGGCUAGGCUUCUUCUCCCCCUGCGGGCUCAUUCCUUCCAUGGAGCUCUGGCUCUCUCUAUACCAUGUAACUCAUGUCCAUGAUAGAUAAAACAAAGCCUCUCUAGAGCACGAGACGUAGGGUUGUUAUCUCCACUGUGAGAGGCCUGAACUCGCUAAAACCACCGUGUCACCCAUGUGCAUCUUGAUAGAUCAUGCUCCGUUAUCCUACCCUCUUUCUAUUGUCGGAAUCGUUACCACGACAUAGAAAAUUUUUCAAGCUAUCCAACUUAACUAUGCAUGUAUUGUCUUUGCAGGACAUAAUGUCGGCAAGACUAAUUCCCAGGUUGGAACCAUUGAAUGUUAGAACUAGCAUGGUAUACAUGAUGGGCCAAGAGGUAAAAUUUAGAAAGCAAGCACUUAUUUUGUUUAGUAUUACAAAACUAUAUUUAUUUCUCACUUGUAAUAAUCCAGUUAAUUCUUUUGCUUACUAUAAUCUAGUACUAUACCAUGAUUUACCCCUUGCACUUGCACUUUAUAUGAUAGAGCAUAUGUGAGCCAAGUGGCAUCACGAGGACCAUUGCCAGAGCAAGCAACUUUUGUGCUUGAUGCUAUGGAAUCAAUUCCUCGAAGGACAAGAAUGACCACGACAACCAACAGAGGAAGGGUCAGAGCCAAAAGAAAAUUAAGAACUACAAGUGAGCAAACACAUUCAAAUGAGCCUGGUUUGAGUGCACAAGCAGGAAGACAAAACAAAAGAAAAACAACAACAAGCGGUGCCGCAAGUGGAGUUGGGACAGGAGCUGGUAGAGGGGGAACAAGAGUAAAAGGUGUAGGGAGAGGAGCUGGCAGAGGAGGAACAAGAGCAAGAGGAGCUGGGAGAGGAGGAACAAGAGCAAGAGGAGCUGGGAGAGGGGCUAGCAACGGAGCUGGCAGAGAAGGAGCUGCCAAUGAAGCUACCAUAGAAGGAGUUGCCAAUGGGACAUGCAUUGGAGAAUCUGACAGUGGAGCGGGCAUAGGAGGAGCUUGGAGUGGAUUUUGGCACAGGAGGAUUUGGAAAUGGAGCAUUUGUGGGAGGAUCUUGGGAUGGAGCACGCAUAGGAGGAGCUUGGGAUGGAGCAUGCAUAGGAGGAGCUUGGACUGGAUCUCGCACUGACCCAUCUCAAUGUCCAUUGUAUUGACUUAUGUUUGGAGAUGAUGGAGCUGCACACAUGAUCCCAGACCAUAAUGCCAGGGAUGAAAUGCCAGUUUCACAAAAUGCACCUCCACGAGAUCAGUGCUAGAGUGCUUGAAGUUCUUAAAUUAACGUCAAGCUACUUUGUAGAAGUUCAUGUCAGAACUUUAUGUUUUGAAGUGCUCAUUUUGUAAUGGUGCGGCCACUUUUCUUUUUGUAAUGAUGCAUCUACUUAAGUGUUGUGUGCAAUCUGUUGUGAUCAAAAUUUAGUAAAUCCUUGAUCAGUUCUGCAAUCUGAUGCGAUCAUAUUCAGCACUUAAGUGUUGUCUUAUCGAAUUUUUUUAUGACCAUUUCCGUCAAAUUCAGACUUCUCUGAAUUCAGUACAACUUGUUCUAGGGAAGCAUGUUUUUGCCAAAUUUAGUGCGCUUGACUAAAUUUCAGAGCUAAUUACACCCAUUAUACAACAACUUUCUCAAAAUUAACAGAUUCAUACACAAACUUGAAAAUUCCAUAAAACUCAUACACGAACUUGUUUGUUGUAAUACUUCAUACAAAACAGCCUGAAUUGGUGCACGUGGCAUGCCACGUCGGAAUGUGGCACGCCCAGGCUCUGUUCGUUUUACUAAUAAAAACAUGAAAGGUGGAUUGUUAGCACGUAUGAAAAUAUUUCGAGGAUCCCCAUAUUAUCACGGACUCGUCAAACUGCCUCCCUAACCCUCCCAUAACCCCUGCCUUUUUGUCCCCCUCAGUCUCUCCUCGAGCUCUUUGGGACGAUCGAUAGUGCGUCAGUUUGAACCCUCGGAGGCGAGGGAAGCGGUAUGUGUCCGGUCAUACGGGCCACGCCCGAUUUCCUGCCGGCAUAUGGUAUGUGUCGAUUCCCCCUUUCCCCACCCCUUGUUGCGGCGUUUAUUUCCCAUGUUUCGAUAGGUUUUGAUGGUAACGACGAUCAUCUAUUUUGGCACAUAGAUUCAAUGAUUCAGGUCGUUUUGAAGGGAGGGAUUGAGGGAUUGGUGAUCAUAUGGGUAGACCAACACGUCAACACAUCCACUGGUUCUUGUGGACAUUCCGAUGGGGAAUUUAGGGCAGUGUGAAGAAUGCAUGAUUGUAGGGCGAAGUAGAUUGAUAUUGGACAGUGCAAUGCAUGGCCGUCAUAUGAACACUACUGAUGUAGUAUUCCUAGACUAUGGUGGCAGCCUUGCUAUGGAUUAUGGUGCCAUCGAAACGUCUUCGUGAGGGAUCCUCUUUAGAUUCGAUAGUAGACUUCAAUGAUGAGAUGCAAACUAUGGAUUACUGAUGUUUGGAAGAGGUAAAAGAGAAGAGGAACCAAUUUACAACCCGAUGUUUGGAAAUGAUGGUGCUACAAGAAGAAUUGCACAUACCCCUGACCUUAAUGCAGACCUGAAUGCUGAAGACAUCCCACCAUCUUAGCACGCACCACAUAUGCAAUAGCAGAAAUAGCUUUGUGUACUAGUUCAUCUAUAAACUAUUGCUCUGCUCCGGUAGUUCAUGAAUGAACUAUAGAUGUUAUGCCCUAUUGAAGUUAAUUGCAUUCAAUCUGAAUAUGUAUGCCCCUUUUGAUAUACUGAACUUGUUAGUUGCACUAAACUUUUAUAUACUGAAGAAAUCCCACUAUGCUCUUUUGAUGUUAUCUUAUGUCAUGUCUUGUACUGAAAUAAAUUUGAAUUCUCUCUCUUCAUCAUAAAAAAAAUUGGUUACAAAUCUGUAAGCAUAUUAUGUACGAUUAUGGUCCCAAAAAAUAUUUGGUAAAAACAUUUUACUUGGGGCUCAAACCUUGACCCAAUGUUAUAAUCCUCCUGUUAGUGAACCAUUGGACUAUGAGAGGAUACAUAUCCGGGGAACGUUGCAUGGGAAACAAAAAAAAUACCUACGCACACGCAAGACCUAUCCAUGGUGAUGAUCAUCUAUGAGAGGGGAUAUCGGAUCCACAUACCCUUGUAGAACACUAAGAGUGAAGCGUUAAGAAACAUGGUUGAUGUAGUCAAACGUCUUCGCGGUCCGAAUCGCAAGCAUCCCACGAAGUCCACCCCGAUCUAGCGCCGAACGGACGGCACCUCCGCAUUCAGCACACGUGCAGCUCGAUGACGAUCUCCGCCUUCUUGAUCCAGCAAGAGAGACGAAGAGGUGGCUGAAUUCUUUGGCAGCACGAUGGCGUGGCGGUGAUGGUGGUGGAGUUACUCCGGCAGGGAUUCGUCGUACCGUACCGAAUUAGCUACGGGGUGUCACGGAGUAGUGGAGGGAGAGAGGGCUGCGCUAUGGCUUGAGGUGCUAAAAGCCUCCCUCACCUCCACUAUAUAUAGGAGGAAGGGGAGGGGUGGGACCCUAGGGAAAAACCCUAGGGUUCGGCCGGUGCAAGAGGAGGAGGAGAAGUCCUCCUUCAAUACAACAUGGAAGGAGGAGUCAUCCUUCCCCCAUUCGGUUUCUCCCACCCUCCUUUCCUUUUCUCCCUUGGCCGAAAUAGGCCUCUUUGGUGGCCACCAGCCCACUAGGGGCUGGUGCGCCACCCUUGAGCCUCUUUGGUUCUCUCCCGGGUGGGUUGCCCAUCCCGGUGGAACUCCGGAACCCAUUCGUCACUCCCGGUACUUUACCGGUAAUGCCCGAAAACCUUCCGAAAGCCAAAUGCAUACUUCCUAUAUGUUAUUCUUCGUCUCCCGACCAUUCCGCAAACCCUCAUGACAUCCGGGAUCUCAUUCAGGACUCCGAACAACAUUCAGUUACCAACAUCAAUAAUUCAACUAUACCGAAACGUCACUGAACCUUAAGUGUGCAGGCCCUGCAGGUUCGAGAACUAUGUAGACAUGACCGAGACACUCUUUGGUCAAUAUCCAAUAGUGGGACCUGGAUACCCAUAUUGGAUCCUACAUAUUCUACGAAGAUCUUUAUCGGUUGACUCUAUGUCAAGGAUUCAGCUAACCCCAUAUAACAUUCCCUUUGUCCUUCGNNNNNNNNNNNNNNNNNNNNNNNNNNNNNNNNNNNNNNNNNNNNNNNNNNNNNNNNNNNNNNNNNNNNNNNNNNNNNNNNNNNNNNNNNNNNNNNNNNNNNNNNNNNNNNNNNNNNNNNNNNNNNNNNNNNNNNNNNNNNNNNNNNNNNNNNNNNNNNNNNNNNNNNNNNNNNNNNNNNNNNNNNNNNNNNNNNNNNNNNNNNNNNNNNNNNNNNNNNNNNNNNNNNNNNNNNNNNNNNNNNNNNNNNNNNNNNNNNNNNNNNNNNNNNNNNNNNNNNNNNNNNNNNNNNNNNNNNNNNNNNNNNNNNNNNNNNNNNNNNNNNNNNNNNNNNNNNNNNNNNNNNNNNNNNNNNNNNNNCUUCGGUAUGUUACUUGCGCGAGAUUGGAUCGUCGGUAUCUCCAUACCUAUUUCAAUCUCGUUAUCGGCAAGUCUAUUUACUCGUUCCGUAAUACUAGAUCUCUUGACUAACUCCUUAGUCACAUUGCUUGCAAGGCUUGUUGUGAUGUUGUAUUACCGAGUCGGCCCCGAGAUACCUAUUCGUCAUAUGGAGUGACAAAUCCCAGUCUUGAUCCAUGCUAACUCAACGGACACCUUCGGAAAUACGUGUAGAGCACCUUUAUAGUCAUCCAGUUACGUUGCGACGUUUGAUACACACAAGGUGUUCCUCCGGUGUCAGUGAGUUACAUGAUCUCAUGGUCAUAUGAAUGUUUACUUGACAUGCAGAAAACAGUAGCAAUAAAAUAACACGAUCACAUGCUAUGUUCAUAAUUUCGGUCUUGUCCAUCACAUAAUUCUUCUAAUGAUGUGAUCCCGUUAUCAAAUGAAAACACUUGUCUAUGGCUAGGAAACCUUAACCAUCUUUGAUCAACGAACUAGUCAACUAGAGGCUUACUAGGGACAGUGUUUUGUCUAUGUAUCCACACAGUUAUUUGUGUUUCCAUUCAAUACAAUUUUCGAAUGGAUAAUAAACGAUUAUCUUGAAAUAGGAAAUAUAAUAAUAACUAUUUUAUUAUUGCCUCUAGGGCAUAUUUCCAACAUACAUCACAUAUGGCACUUCGUUUGUUUUUGUCACAUUGAGGGGAUGACGACAGAGUGAGGAGUGGGCCCUUCUUGUAUUGUGGGCUGGAACGUGUGCUUUUUGCGGGAAAACGUGUUUUGUUAUUUAUGUGUAAGACAGGGGAGUUUGUGGAAAAAUCCACCCCUUUGCGACAUGGCAGCCGAUGUGUCAUACGCGGGGCUGUUUUGUAGUCAACUAUUAUGAAUUUUGAGUUUGCUAACCACAUCUCCCAUGUGGUUGUAGUCAAGUGUUACUGGAAAUAAGUUUGUAUGUGAUAUUUGUGUUGUUUUCAAGUUUGUGUAUGAAUCUGUUAAUUUCGAGCAAGUUUUUGUAUCAUGGGUGUAGUUAACUCUUAUUAAAAAGGCAUAUUUAGAUCUAUUAUCAUCUUUCACUUGAAUCAUCUUCACUACCUGUCCGAUUCAACAUCAAUAGAUAGAUUGCUCCAUUGCAAAGCGAGUAAAAGGCCCUAUUGAAUGCCCAAAAUUUUAGUUUCAAGCAUGCCAUUAUAAGAAACAGGAUAUAUGCAUGAGCUGAAUAUGAUGCUACCACUUUGGUCCCUAAGGAUCAUACGUGUUCCUGCAACACCAUUCAAAACACACCCAUCUGUGUUGAGAUUCACUCGUCCAGCCACUGGUGGAGACCAAGGACUGUGUUCUUGACGCCUCCUAUCACAUGUGGGUGUCGCCAAAGGGAAACAAACUUGAGUUAGGAACUUCCCUUUUGUGUGGUCAACAUUUGGAUUUGUUGUAAUGCAGUUCAGCAAGGGAAUGUAGCUAGAUAGAAAGUGACAUGAAACAUCAAUCGGAGGUGCGGGUUUGUGGUGGAAUAACUCAUUCGAACGUGCCAGAUCCGCCAAAGAAGCAUCAUGAACCGAAGCCGGAUAGAUUCAGCCAAAUCAGAGAUAGCUUGAACAAACCAUUCUUUGCCCGUGGGAAGGAUAUUGGUGACCUCUGGGAGAUCCCAUUCAGUGGACAUUGCUUUCCAUAAGCGUUUUGCAUUGACGCAAGAGCAAAAAGUAUGGAACGAAUCUUCCUCUUCAUAGGAGCAAAUCGGACACAAUGCACUAAUCUCCGGAUUACGUUUCUGUUUAUUUUUCCAAGUAGCAAGGGUGUCUAUAGCUAGUCUCCAAACAAAAUUUAUUACCUUUGGUGGAGCCGGACUAGACCAAAUGCACUUCUAGCCAUCACGACCGUCGUCUGCGUCCCGCUAGACAUUGCAACAGGGCUAUUGUGUACCUCAUCAGAAGCAAGUAUGUAAGCGCUUCGUACUUUAAAGACUCCUGAUUUUUCUGGUGCACAGGCCAGGAAGUCCUCACCAAAACGCGGUCAUGGUCGAAUUUUCAGAAUUUCAACUAUGUCCACGGGCAGAAAAAAAUUGAUGUAGUUUUGUGAGGUCCCAAGCUCCAUUGUGAUCCAAGAGCUCGGACACCCACUUUAGUCUACACCGUCCUUUAUGGGAAAUGAGGCUCCCCGUUGGCUGUCGCACCAUGCAUCUGUCUCGCCAAAUACGCACAUUCUGGCCAUUAGCAAUCCUCCAUACAAGCCCUUUCUUCAGUCGGUCUAACCCAUAGCUGACGGCCUGCCAUGUUGGAGAGGGGUUUCCAGUAAAAAUUGUGUCCUCAAAUCUGCCACUUGGAUAGUAUUUAGCCUUCAAUAAUCUAGCGCAUAAACUAUUUGGGAAUGCAAUAUAUCUCCAUGCUUGCCUCACAAUUAGCGUUCGGUUAAACAGACAAAAGUCUCUAUAACUUCUGUGGGUUUGUGCCAACACCACAAGUUCGAAUGAGAUGAAACAAUAUUGAUUGCAAAAAAUUUGAAUAAAAAGGAACACACCAUCAAAAUCAUAAUAGGGUUGUCAUCGUUUCUAAAAUUUAAAAAACUCUAGAAGUUCAAAUUUAAAUAACAAACUGUCCAGAUUAUUACAAAACUAGGAUAUUUCGAUGCUAAAAGAAAUAAACCAAGAAGUCCAAAUUACAAAAAUAGAGAAGUUUGAUAUUUAUAAAAAACUUCGAUUUUCCUUGUUACUAAAGAAUAAAAACGACGAAGUUCAAAUUAAAAUAGAGGAGUGGUUCGAUGUAUACAAGCAACCCAAAUUAUUACCGUUUCUAGGGGGAGUUCGAUUUAAAAAAAUGAUGCUUAUUUAUAAAAAUAUUUUCUUUCUAAGAAAAGACUAAGAAGUUCAAAUUAAAAUAACACAGAAGUUCGAAGUUUAUGAAAAACUCAAAUUUGUUCAAAGAAGUUCAUGUGCAACUCCGUGCAUGGUUCAUAAUUUAUAUUGUGGGACGUCUGACUUCCAAUUACAUGUUUUAAAAUGGCAAAAUAUGACGCCCGACCUUCAGUUACGUGUUAUUCGAUGUAUACACAAAAACGUGACAGAAGUUCAUAGCGAAAACAACAAGAAGUUCAAGUACUAAAGGAAUGCAUUUGAGGUGAGAAUAAAAGAAUAGAAAAUUAGAAGAUUAAAAUGUUUGUUGCUAGAAGUUCAAGUGCAUGUCGCGGGGUAGUUCAAAAAUUCUUGCAAGAGAGGUUCACCUUGUAUUAUCAUGUUCAAAAAUACAAAAAAGAAAUUGUUGUUUCUGUUUUAAAAUAAUUCUCUCAAUCCACAAAGAAGUUCAACUAUUAUUUGGGAGCAAGUCAGUUUCAAAAAGAAAAUCAAAAAAGCAAAUUAUAAAAACGGAGUACUAGAUGGAGUAUGUUUAAUAUGAGAAAAAUGAAUAAAAAGGCAAGUUCAAUUGUUUUGUUGCUAGAAGUUCAAGUCCUCGGUUGGAGAAAGUUAAAAAAUUAUUGUUAGAGAGGUUUGUUCAAAAAGGAAUAUCAUUUGUGUAACACCGACGAAUGGGUGAGAAAAUACAAACGAAAAUACAUGACACAAAGUCAACGUGAAAACAGUGGGAAGGUUAACUACUACACUGCAUGAAUGUCAUAUGAAAAUAUUUUAAACCGUUGUGAGUAUGGAAAAAGCAUCAACACGGAAAAGUUGUGUGUUUACAACAAAUUUCCUUCUCUAUAUCAUUUGCUCAAUUCCGGUGAGUGGAUGAAGAGCUACGAGUAAAAACAACACGUGGAAAACGAAGUAAACUAUGAGUAGACAAGUCGAGAAGUUCAAGUUCUUCAUGUGGUGCAUUUUUGAAGAGUGUGUUUCGCGCUAUAGGCAGGACGCAUAAUCUCGCUGUUUUCAAGAUUACUUGAAAAAUGACUUGGAAUCAUAGAAAAUUAUCUACAUGAAUAGGUUUUGCAUUUUCUGUAACUUUUCAACGGCAUACUAUUUUCCCCAUUCCGAUAAAGUUUGUAAAAACUAUGGACCAAAAACGUUUUCAGCCAUUUUUAAAAUUGACUUAAAACUGUAAAGAAUUAGAGGAAACAAUCUACAUAGAAAAGUUUUGCAUUACUUCAAGCUUUCCGACACCAUAUCCUUUGUUCCAUUCCGACAAACCAUUGAGAAAUUAAUGCGAAAAGACGAACUCGGUACAACAUCUACCGUUUUCUAAAUUACUUUUAAAUUGUUAAUAGUUAGAAGAAACAUUUUAUAUGAAAAGAUGCGCAUUUUCAUAAGUUUUCCAACGCCAUAUCAUUUGCGUCGAUUGGACUAUCUGUUUUCAAAUUAACCCUGAAAUACUAAUCCGGCUGUUCAGUUACAGAAAUUCCGCUAUUUUCAAAUUCCUCUUUAACCAUAGAGUAUUUGGAAAGACUUUCAACAUAUGAAAUGAGCGGAUUUGCAGCAGCUAUCCAACGACGUCUCAUUUCCUCAUUCUGAUAAACAUUUUAUAAAUAGGCUCGAAAAUAUGAUUCACUUUUUUGUAUGAAGAAAAAUGGUUUUCAAAACUGCUCUUAAAUGAUGUACACUUUGACAAAAAUUCAACCUAGGUUGUUACUAGGGUGUCCAUAGCUUUCCAACGGUAUACCGCAAGCCCCAUUUGGACGAUAUUAGCAGAAGUUCUACCUAGCACUCGGGAAAGGUCAACUGCUACACUCCAUGAAUGUCACAUGAAAAUCUUUUAAACCGUCGCGAGUGUAAAAAAUGAUCAACACGGAAAAGUUGUGUGCUUACAACAGCUUUCAUCGGUAUAUCAUUUUCUCGAUUGCGGUGAGUGGAUGAAGAAUUACUAGCAAAAAUACCACGUGAAAAACAGAGUGAAGUUCAUGAAAACAAGCCGACAAGUUCAAGUUCUUCACGAAGUGCAUUUUCGAAGAAUCUGUUUCGCACUAUAGGCAGAUCGCAUGAUCUCGUUUUUUUAGAUUGCUUGAAAAAGUCUAGUAAUCCGAGAAAACUAUCUACGUGAAAAAGUUUCGCACUUUCCAUAGCUUUCCAACGGUAUAUUAUUUGCCCCAUUUCGAUAAAGUUUAUGAAAAUUGCAGCCAAAAACCGUUUUUAACCAUUUUCAAAAUUGACUUAAAACCAUAACGAAUUAGAAAAAAACAAUCUACAUAUAAAAGUUUUGAAAAUACGAUUCACGUUUUUUUGUAUGAAGAAAACUGAUUUUCAAAACUGCUCUUAAACCUUGUAAAUUUUGAGAAAAAUUCAGCCUAGGUUGUUACGAGGGUGUCCAUAGUUUUCAAACGGUAUAUCGUAAUCCCCAUUUGACCACUUUUAGCGGAAGUUCAACCUAGCACCCGGAGAAGUUCACGUGCUACUAUUGGGACGAGUCAGCCCGUGAUUAGAAUAGUUAUUCUCAUCCCAGUAUGAGAAUAGUGUUUGUAAAUGACACGCAUCGUCAAUGAUUCCUUUUCUAAUUGACAUGCACGCAAGAAUAUCCAUCUUUAGGAUAUCUUCAACCAUUUCAAACUUUCUUAUUUAGUACGUCUCAUUUUUAUUCCUGGCUCAUCAGAUUUUUUAGUAUGUUUGGGGAACGUUGCAUGGGAAACAAAAAAUUUCCUACGCACACGAAGACCUAUCAUGGUGAUGUUCAUCUACGAGGGGAGAUUAGAUCCACAUACCCUUGUAGAUCGCUAAGCGGGAAGCGUUAAAAACCGCGGUUGAUGUAGUGGUACAGCUUCGUGAUUCAAAUCAUCAUCGUCCCACGAUCCAUUCCGAUCUAGCGCCGAAUGGACGGCACCUCCGCGUUCAGCACACGUACAACUCAAUGACGAUCUCGGCCUUCUUGAUCCAGCAAGAGAGGCGGAGAAGUAGAUGAGUUCUCCGGCAGCGUGACAGCGCGCCGAUGGUGGUGAUGGUCUACUCCUGCAGGGCUCCGCCCGAGUUCGGUAGAAAUCUGAUCUAGAGGAAGAACUACAUGGUAUAGGUUUGAGUUGCACAUGGCAAAGUUAUGUCUCGAAAGCCCUAAAACCACCAAUAUAUAUAGGAGGAGGGGAGGGGCUAGCCUUGGGGCUCAAUGGAGCCCCAAGGGCGCCGGCCGAAGGGAGAGGUGGACUCCCACCCCAAUUCGGUUUGGGGGAAGGAGUCCACUCCGUCCUUCCCACCUCCCUCUUUCCUGUUUUUUUUCUUUGGUAUUUUUCCCUUGUGGCGCCAUAGCCCUCUUGGGCUAGCCUCACCAGCCCACUAAGGGCUGGUGCGCCACCCUAGGGUUACUCGGCUCACUCCCGGGUGGGUGGGCCCCUCCCGGUGAAUACCCGGAACCCAUUCGUCACUCCCGGUACACUGCCGGUAAUGCCCGAAAUCUUUCCGGUGACCAAAUGAAACCACCCUAUAUAUCAAUCUUCGUUUCCGGACCAUUCUGGAAACCCUCCUGACGUCUGUGAUCUCAUCUGGGACUCCUAACAACCUUCAGUCACCAACACAUAUAACUCAACUAUACUAAAACAUCAUCGAACCUUAAGUUUGCACACCGUGCGGGUUCGAGAACUAUGUAGACAUGACCCUAGACACUCAUCGGCCAAUAUCCAAUAGCGGGACCUGGAUGUCCAUAUUGGAUCCUACAUAAUCUACCAAGAUCUUAUCGGUUGAAUCUAUGUGCCAAGGAUUCAUAUAAUCCCGUAUAACAUUCGCUUUGUCCUUCGGUAUGUUACUUGCCCGAGAUUUGAUCGUCGGUAUCCUUAUACCUAUUUCAAUCUCGUUAUUGGAAAGUCUCUUUACUCAUUCCGUAAUACAAGAUCAUGUGACUGACACUUGAGUCACAUUGCUUGCAAGGCUUGUAUGUGAUGUUGUAUUACCCAGUGGGCCCCGAGAUACCUCUCUGUCACAUGGAGUGACAAAUCCCAAUCUUGAUCCAUGCUAACUCAAGGGACACCUUCGGAGAUACCCGUAGAGCACCUUUAUAGUCACCCAGUAACGUUGUGAUGUUUCAUACACACAAGGUAUUCCUACGGUGUCAGUGAGUUACAUGAUAUCAUGGUCAUAGGAAUGAAUACUUGACACGCAAAAAACAAUAGCAACAAAAUGACACGAUCACAUGCUACGUUUAUAAUUUGGGUCUUGUCCAUCACAUGAUUCUCCUAAUGAUGUGAUCCAGUUAUCAAGUGACAACACUUGCAUAUGGUCAGAAAACCUUAACCAUCCUUGAUCAACUGGCUAGCCAACUAGAAGCUUGCUAGGGACAUUGUUUUGUCUAUGUAUCCACACAUGUAUCUAUGCUUUCAUUCAAUACAAUUAUAGCAUGGAUAAUAAGCGAUUAUCUUGAAAAAGGAAAUAUAAUAAUAACUAUUUUAUCAUUGCCUCUAGGGCAUAUUUCCAACAGUCUCCCACUUGCACUAGAGUCAAUAAUCUAGUCUCACAUUGCUAUGUGAUUUACAUUGGAAUAAAUCUAACACCCAUACAGUUCUGGUGUUGAUCAUGCUUCCCUCGUGGAAGAGGUUUAGUCAGCGUAUCUGCUAUAUUCACAUCCGUGUGCAUUUUGCAAAUAUUUACGUCCUCUCCUUCGACGUAGUCAUGGAUGAGGUUGAAGCGUCGUUUGAUGUGUCUGGUCUUCUUGUGAAACCUUGCUUCCUUUGCUAAAGCAAUGGCACCAGUGUUGUCACAGAACAGAGUUAUUGGAUUUACUGCGCUCGGCACAACUCCAAGAUCCGUCAUGAACUGCUUCAUCCAGACACCCUCCUUAGCUGCUUCGGAGGCAGCGAUGUACUCCGCUUCACAUGUAGGAUCUACUACGACGCUUUGCUUGGAACUGCACCAGCUUACCACACCCCCAUUAAGAAUAAAUACGUAUCCGGUUUGAGACUUAGAGAUAUCCGGAUCAGUGUCAAAGCUUGCGUCGACGUAACCCUUUACGACAAGCUCUUUGUCACCUCCAUAAACGAGAAACAUUUCCUUAGUCCUUUUCAGGUACUUCAGAAUAUUCUUGACCGCCGUCCAGUGAUCCACUCAUGGAUUACUUUGAAACCUGCCUACCAUACUUAUGGCCAGGCCGACGUCCGGUCUAGUGCACAGCAUUGCAUACAUGAUAGACCCUAUGGCUGAAGCAUAGGGGACGGUACUCAUCUUUUCUCUAUCUUCCACAGUUACUGGACACUGAGUCUUACUCAACUUUAUACCUUGUAAUACUGGCAAGAACCCCUUCUUAGGCUGUUCCAUUUUGAACUUCUUCAAAACUUUAUCAAGGUAUGUGCUUUGUGAAAGUCCUAUCAGACGCCUCGAUCUAUCCCUAUAGAUCUUAAUGCCUAGAAUGUAAGCAGCUUCUCCUAGGUCCUUCAUAGAGAAACACUUGUUUAAGUAAUCUUUUACGCUCUCUAAAAACUCCACAUUGUUUCCAAUCAGCAAUAUGUCAUCCACAUAUAAUAUUAGUAACGCCACAAAGCUCCCACUCACUUUCUUGUAAAUACAAGAUUCUCCAACAACUUGUAUUAACCCAAACGCUUUGAUCACUUCAUCAAUGCGCUUAUUCCAACUCCGAGAUGCUUGCACCAGUCCAUAAAUGGAUCGCUGGAGCUUUCACACUUUCUUAGCAUUCUUUGGAUCGACAAAACCUUUGGGUUGCAUCAUAUACAACUCUUCCUUCAGAAAACCGUUAAGGAACACCGUUUCGACAUCCAUCUACCAGAUUUCAUAAUCGAAAAAUGCAGCUAUUGCUAACAUGAUUCGAACGGACUUAAGCAUCGCUACCGGUGAGAACGUGUCAUCGUAGUCAACUCCUUGAACUUGUGAAAAAAAACCUUUGCCACAAGUUGAGCUUUAUAAACGAUCACAUUACCGUCCGCGUCCGUCUCCUUCUCAAAGAUCCAUUUGUUCUGAAUAGCCUUGCGGCCUUCAGGUAAUACUUCCAAAGUCCACACUUUGGUUUCAUACAUAGAUCCUAUCUCGGACUUCAUGGCCUCCACCAUUUGGUGGAAUCCGGGCCCACCAUUGCUUCUUCAUAAUUCGUAGGUUCAUUGUUGUCUAACAACAUGAUUGAUAAGACAAGAUUACUGUACCACUCAGGAGCAGUACGUGAUCUUGUCGACCUGCGAGGUCCGAUAGGAACUUGAUCCGAAGUUUCAUGAUCAUCAUCAUUAACUUCCUCCUCAACCGGCGUCGCUUCGACAGAGGUUUCCCCUUGCCCUGCGCCACCAUCUAGAGGGAAUAGAGGUUCUACAACCUCAUCAAGUUCUAUCUCCCCCCCCACUCAAUUCUUUCGAGAGAAACUCCUUCUCAAGAAAAUCUCCGUUCUUAGCAACAAACACUUUGCCCCUGGAUCUGAGAUAGAAGGUGUACCCAACUGUCUCCUUUGGGUAACCUAUGAAGACACACCUUUCCCCUUUGGGUUCCAGCUUUUCAGGAUGAAGCUUUUUAACAUAAGCAUCACAUCCCCAAACUUUAAGAAACGACAACUUAGACCUCUUGCCAUACCAUAGCUCAUAUUGUGUCGUCUCAACGGAUUUUGACGGUGCCCUAUUUAAAGUGAAUGCAGUUGUCUCUAAUGCAUAACCCCAAAAUGAUAACGGCAAAUCAGUAAGAGACAUCAUAGAUCGCACCAUAUCUAACAAAGUACGAUUUACGAUGUUCGGACACAUCAUUACGUUGUGAUGUUCCAGGCGGUGUCAACUGUGAAACAAUUCCACAUUGUCUUAAGUGAGAGCCAAACUCGAAACUCAGAUACUCACCCCCACGAUCAGAACGUAGGAACUUGAUCUUCUUGUUACGGUGAUUUUCAACUUCACUCUGAAAUUGCUUGAACUUCUCAAACGUUUUAGACUUGUGCUUCAUCAAGUAGAUAUAUCCAUACCUACUCAAAUCGUCAGUGAAGGUGAGAAAAUAACGAUAUUCACCGCGCGCCUCCACACUCAUCGUACCGCACACAUCGAUAUGUAUGAUUUCCAACAAGUCACUUGCACGCUCCAUUGUUCCGGAGAACGGAGUCUUAGUCAUCUUGCCCAUGAGGCAUGGUUCACACAUGUCAAGUGAUUCAACAUCAAGUGACUCCAAAAGCCCAUCGGAAUGGAGUUUCUUCAUGUGCUUUACACCAAUAUGACCUAAGCGGCAGUGCCACAAAAACGUGGUGCUAUCAUUGUUAACUCUACAUCUUUUGGUCUCAAUGUUAUGUAUAUGUGUAUCAUCACAAUCAAGAUUCAAUAUGAACAAUCCUCUCACAUUGGGUGCAUGACCAUAAAAGAUAUUACUCAUAGAAAUAGAACAACCAUUAUUCUUUGACUUAAAUGAGUAACCGUCUCGCAAUACACAAGAUCCAGAUAUAAUGUUCAUGCUUAACGCACGCACUAAAUAAAAAUUAUUUAAGUUCAUAACUAAUCCUGAUGGUAACUGAAGUGAGACUGUGCCGACGGCGAUUACAUCAACCUUUGAACCAUUUCCCACGCGCAUCCUCACUUCAUCCUUCGCCAGCCUUCGUUUAUUCUACAGUUCCUGCUUCGAGUUGCAAAUAUGAGCAACAGAACCGGUAUCAAAUACCCAGGCACUACUACGAGAGUUGGUUAAGUACACAUCAAUAACAUGUAUAUCACAUAUACUUGAUUUUUCUUUGGCCGCCUUCUUAUCAGCCAAAUACUUGGGGCAGUUGCGCUUUCAGUGACCCAUCCCCUUGCAAUAAUAACACUAUGUUUCCGGCUUAGGUCCAGCCUUGGGUUUCUUCGUCGUAUUGGCAGCAGGUUUUCCGCUCUUCUUGGAGUUACCCUUCUUGCCUUUGCCGUUUCUCUUGAAACCAGUGGUCUUAUUGACCAUCAACACUUGAUGCUCUUUCCGGAGUUCUGACUGUGCGACUUUCAGCAUCGCGAAUAACUCGCCGGGUGACUUGUUCAUCCCUUGCAUGUUAUAGUUCAACACAAAGCUCUUGUAGAUAGGUGGCAGUGAUUAAAGAAUUCUGCCAGUGAUAGCCUCUUGUGGGAGUUCAAUCCCCAGCUCAGCUAGACGGUUUGAGUACCCAGACAUUUUGAGCACUUGUUCAGUGACAGAUGAAUUCUCCUCCAUCUUGCAAGCAUAGAAGUUAUCGAAGGUCUCAUACCUCUCGAUCUGGGCAUUCUUCUGAAGAUAAACUUCAACUCCUGGAACAUCUCAUAUGCUCCAUGACGCUCAAAGCGACGUUGAAGUCCCAGUUCUAAGCCAUACAAGACUGCACAUUGAAGUACCGAGUAGUCCUCCUUACGCGAUUGCCAAGCGUUCAAAACAUCUUGGUCAGACAGAGCGGGUGGUUCAUCUCCUAGCGCAGCAUCAAGGACAUAAUUCUUUUUCCCAGCUUGUAGGAUGAGCCUAAGAUUACGUGCCCAGUCUACAAAGUUGCUUCCAUCAUCUUUCAACUUAGGUCUCCCUAGGAACGUAUUGAAAUUCAGGGUUGCUACUGCGUGAACCAUUGAUCUACAACAUAAAAUAUUGCAAAGUGGACUUUGACUAUGUUCAAGACAAUUAGAGUUUAACUUAUCAAAUUACUAAUAAAAUCCCACUCAAAAAAUACAUCCCUCGUGUCAUUUGAGUGGUGCAUGAUCCAAAUUCACUAACUCAAGUCCGAUCAUCACGUGAGUUGAGUUUAGUUUCAGUGGUAAACAUCUCUAUGCUAAUAAUAUCAACUAUAUGAUUCAUGCUCGGCCUUUCGGUCUCUUGUGUUCCGAGGCCAUGUCUGUACAUGCUACUCUCGUCAAGUUUAACCCGAGUGUUCCGCGUGUGCAACUGUUUUGCACCCAUUGUAUGUGAACAUUGAAUCUAUCACACCCGAUCAUCACGUGGUGUCUCGAAACGACGAAAUGUCGCAACAGUGCACAGCCGGGGAGAACACAAUUUCAUCUUGAAAUUUUAGUGAGCGAUCACUUCAUAAUUCUACCAUCGUUCUAAGCAAUAUAAGGUGCAUAAAAGGAUUAACAUCACAUGCAAUUCAUAAGUGACAUGAUAUGGCCAUGAUCUUGUGCUUCUUGAUCUCCAUCACCAAAGCACUGGCAUGAUCUUCUUGUCACUAGCACCAUGAGGACCCACAAGUGUAGGGGAUCUAUUAUAGUCCUUUCUAUAAGUAAGAGUGUCGAACCCAACGAGGAGCAGAAGGAACAGGCAAGUGGUUUCCAGCAAGGUAUUCCCUGCAGGCACUAAAAUUAUUGGUAACAUAUAGUUGUGUGAUAAGAUAAUUCAUAGCGAGUAGCAAGUAACAAUAAUAACAAAGGUGCAGCAAAGUGUCCCCAUCCCUUUUUUAUCAAGGGAAAAGCCUCGACAAACUCUUAUAGGAGGUAAACCGCUCCCGAGGACACAUAGGAAUUUCUGUCAAGCUAGUUUUCAUCAUGUUCAUAUGAUUCGCGUUCGCUACUUUGAUAGUUUGAUAUGUGGGUGGACCAGUGCUUGGGUGCUACCCUUACUUGGACAAACAUCCCACUUAUGAUUAACCCCUCUCGCAAGCAUCUGCAAUUACGAAAGAAGAAUUAAGACAAAGUCUAACCAUAGCAUUAAACUAGUGGAUCCAAAUCAGCCCCUUACAAAGCAACGCAUAAACUAGGGUUUAAGCUUCUGUCACUCUAGCAACCCAUCAUCUACUUAUUACUUCCAAAUGCCUUCCUCUAGGCCCAAUUAAUGGUGAAGUGUCAUGUAGUCUACGUUCACAUAACACCACUAGAGGAAAAGACAACUUACAUCGCAUCAAAAUAUCGAACGAGUACCAAAUUCACAUGACUACUUAUAGCAAGACUUAUCCCAUGUCCUCAGGAACAAAAGUGACUACUCACAAAGCAUAAUUAUGUUCAUGACCAGAGAGGUAUUGAAUAGCAUCAAGGAUCUGAACAUAUAAUCUUCCCCUGAAUAAUCCAACUAGCAUCAACUACAAAGAGUAAUUAACACUACUAGCAACCUUACAAGUACCAAUCGGAGUCGUGAGACGGAGAUUGGUUACAAGAGAUGAACUAGGGUUCGGAAAUGAGAUGGUGCUGAUGAAGAUGUUGAUGGUCAUGAGUCCCCUCCGACGAGAGGAGUGUUGGUGAUGAUGAUGGCGAUGAUUUCCCGCUCCGGGAGGGAAGUUCCCCCGGCAGGACGACCCUGCCAGAGCUCUAGAUUGGUUCUGCUCAAGUUCCGCCUCGUGGUGGCGGGGAUUCCUCCCGAAAGCCCCCUCCUCAUUUUUUCUGGGACAAAACCCUCCUUAUAGCAAAAGAUGGGAGCCAGAGGGGCAACAGGGGGCCCACAAGCCACCUAAGUGCGGCCAGGGGAUAGGUCGCGCCUGGCAGGCUUGUGGCCUCCUGGUAGCUCCCCUCUUGUACUUCUUCCGCCCUGUAUUUUUUAUAAAAUCCUAAAUAAUUCCACGUUGAUUUUCAUGGCUUUUGGAGUUGCGCAGAAUAGGUAUCUCAAACUUGCUCCCUUUUUAGACCAUAAUUCCAGUUGCCGGCAUUCUCCCUCUUCAUGUAAACCUUAUAAAAUAAGAGAGAAAAGGCAUAAGUAUUGUACGGUGAAGUGUAAUAACAGCCCAUAAAGUGAUAAUUAUCAACAUAAAAGCAUGAUGCAAAAUGGACGUAUCAACUCCCGCAAGCUUAGACCUCGCUUGUCCUCAAGCGGAAGCCGAGAUCAAUAAAUAUGCCCACAUGUUUAGAGAUAGAGGUGUCGAUAAAACAAAAUAGGGACAUGCACGCAUCAUGAUCAUAAUUAGGACAACAAUAGCGUCAUAUAAACUCUUAUGCUAAAGUGACAAUUCUUUCACAAAGUAAAGUAUGGAUCAAGAACCUUAUUGAGAAUUAGCAACCAAUAGCCUUUAGUCCUUGAAGCAAUUGCAAUUUAUCAUAACAUCGAAAAGAGUCAAAUAAGAGCUUGUAAAGAAAAUCCACAUACGCAAUCAUCCUUUCGUCUUCUACAAUUGCUAAAACUCACGUGGUACUCAUGAGAUCAAAGUUUUAGUUGGACACAGAGAAAGAUAGGGGCUCAUAAUUUUGCUUCCCAACUACUUACCUCAAGGGUAAUGUCAACAAUAAUAAUUCAUGGAUACUUACUUCCAAGUUGACAUAUGAAUAUAGAUCUUUCCCUAGCACAUGACGUUAGCCAAGAUAAAGGAGAAAUAAGGAAUUGGUGUCGAUCACCAUGACUCUUUUAAGGAUAAAAAGUAAAGGUACAAGAUAGGCCCUUCACAGAGGGAAGCAGAGGUUGUCAUGCGCUUUUGAGGUUUGUAUGUGUGACCUCUUAGUGUGAAGGAAUGUCACUUUAUAUUGCCUCUUGUGAUAAAGAACUUUAUUAUGCGGUAUGUUGCUUUUAUGUCUUCCUCAUCACAGGUUCGUACAAAGAUUAUUUUCCACACACUAAUAGAUCAUACAUAUUUAGGGAGCAAUUUUUAUUGCUUGCACCGAUGACAACUUACUUGAGGGGUCUUAUUCAAUCCAUAGGUAGGUAGCGUGGACUCUCAAGGCAAAACUGGGUUGAAGGUUUAUGGAUGCACAAGUAGUAUCUCUACUUAGUGUGGAAGUUUUGGCUGAGAUGAGGUGGAAGCAAUCGUGAUGUGCUAAGGGAUCUCUAGUCAUAAAACAUUGUUCGGAACCAAGCAAACAUAGUUCAUUAUGUUGUUUUCCUUGUCCAACAUCUACUUCUAAGCAUGUAAUAGUUUAAUGAGUGUUCACAAUCAUAGACGGUGUCAAAGAUGAUAUAUUUAUAUGUGAACCUCUCUUUCUUUAUUACUUCCUAUUAAUUGCAACAAAGACCAAGUUCUACGUUUGUCCACCCACAACAAGUUUCACUCAACAUUCUUUUUUUAUGUGAAGUCAUCACAUCCCAUAAGAUCAUUACAUGAUCUUUCAUGCUUUUGUUCUUUUAUUAUUCUUCCUUUAGAUCAUGGUAUGAGGCAAGGCCCUUAACUAAAACACUCUUUAUUAUAUGACUCACGAGCUUGAAUACAUUGGGGGUGAAACAAAGCAAAACUCAAGCCUAGAUCACUAAGAACAUUAUUCUACUAGAGAAAUAUAAAACCAAAAAGGAUCGAACUAAGAAAAAGGUAAAGGCAAAAGAUGUGAUGGUGAUACGAUACCAGGGCAACUCCCCCAAGCUUGGCACAAGCCAAGAGGAAUGCCCAUACACGUGCUUAAUUGUCUUCCUUCGGAGGUGAUGGUGGUGGAGUUGUUGCAAUCUGGGGUUGAUCCUCCGUCUUCCAAGGCAUAGGUGCUCCAUCAUGGAAAGAUGAUCGAGUCUCCGAAAUCCUCAAAUCUGCAGCCAACCAUAUUGAUUUAAAUCUAAACUCAUACUCACAGUUUUGGUUCUGCAGGUCGUAGAUCUGGGCUUGGAGGUGAUCAAUUUUGUCAUAGAGCCUGGAGAGGUGCUUCCUGAUAUCAUUGACAUCGAUCUUGUGCUUGUUGGUGAACUCUGUGAUCAUCAUGUGGUUGGCGUCGAGUCCGCGUUCCACCAUCCCUUGGCACUUGAAGACUUGCUGCUCCAUUGCUUCGAGCCUCGCUUCCAUGCUUCCGGUCUUCUUGGGCCCCUCAAUAUCACGGAUGUGCAGCACCCCCUCACGCAUCUCGAUAGAUUGAGGGUGUUUCAGCACUCCCACGAGGUAGGGAUUGAUGACCUUCUCGAAGAACUUGUCCUUCGGAGCUUUUGGGGACGCCAUAGCGAUCUAGAUCUGUCUGCACAACAGCUCGAAAUGAAAACAGAGGAUAUUUGCGUGAUACGAGGGUCAGACCUUUCGGGAGAAUAUAUAAUGAAUUUUUCCCGACCAGAAGGAGUACUCCGCAAGAAAACGGAGUCUGGGAGGCACACGAGGUGCUCACAAGCCCCCCAGGCGCGGCCAGGGGGGUAGGCUGCGCCUGGCAGGCUUGUCGCCUCCUCGUGCGCUUUCCGGACUACUUUAAAUUUUUCUAUUUUUCUAAAAAUACCAAAAUGGAGAAAAAUUUCUACCCGAAAAGUUUUGGAGUUGGUUUACUUACCGAAUCACAUACCUCUUCGUUUUUGGAGUCUGAAACAGGCUGAUAAAUAUCCCUUAUGUACUCCUCUGGAGUUAUGGUAUUAAUAAUAUUGCUUUCAACAUUUAUGGGAGUACCUGAGAUAUAAUGUUUGAUUCUUAGCCCAUUUACCACUCUCGGAAAAUUACCUUCUGUGUUGUUGAUCUUGAUGGCACUGGAACGAUAUACUUCCUCAACAAUGUAAGGACCUUCCCAUUUAGAGAGAAGCUUGCCUGCAAAAAAAUCUUAAACGAGAAUUGUAUAGCAAGACAUAAUCACCUACAUUGAACUCACGUUUUUGUAUCCUUUUAUCAUGCCACCUAUUAACCUUUUCUUUGAACAACUUGGCAUUUUCAUAUGCCUCAGUUCUCCAUUCAUCAAGUGAGCUAAUAUCAAAUAACCUCUUCUCACCAGCAAGUUUGAAAUCAAAGUUGAGCUCUUUGAUUACCCAAUAAGCCUUAUGCUCUAGCUCAAGAGGUAAAUGACAGGCUUUACCGUAAACCAUUUUGUACGGAGACAUGCCCAUGGGAUUCUUAUAAGCAGUUCUAUAAGCCCAGAGUGCAUCAUCAAGCUUCUUAGACCAAUUCUUUCUAGACCUAUUAACAGUCUUUUGCAGAAUUAGUUUAAUCUCUCUAUUACUCAGCUCUACUUGACCACUGGACUCAGGAUGAUAGGGAGAUGCAAUUCUAUGGUUGACAUCAUACUUAGCAAGCGUUUUACGGAAAGAACCAUGAAUAAAAUGUGAACCACCAUCAGUCAGUAAAUAUCUAGGGACUCCAAAUCUAGGGAAAUAACUUCUUUGAGCAUCCUAAUGGAGGCGUUAUGAUCAGCACUACUAGUUGGGAUAGCUUCUACCCACUUAGUAACGUAAUCAACAACAACCAGGAUAUGAGUAUACCCGUUAGACUUUUGAAAAGGUCUCAUAUAAUCAAAACCCCAAACAUCAAAUGGUUCAAUGACGAGUGAAUAAUUCAUAGGCAUCUCCUGACGUUUACUGAUAUUACCUAUUCUUUGACAUUCAUCACAAGACAAGACAAACUUAAGGACAUCCUUGAAGAGAGUAGGCCAAUAGAAACCAGAUUGCAUGACCUUGUGUGCAGUUCUAUCUCCCGCAUGGUGUCCUUCGUAAGCCUCAGAGUGACACUUCUGUAGGAUCUGUCCCUGUUCAUGCUCAGGUACACAAUGUCUAAUAACUCCAUCUACUCCUUCCUUAUAAAGGUGAGGAUCAUCCCAAAAGUAAUGUCUCAAAUCAAAGAAGAAUUUCUUCUUUUGUUGGUAUGUGAAACUAGGUGGUAUAUAUUUGGCAACAAUAUAAUUUGCAUAAUCAGCAUACCAAGGUGUACUACGUGAAGCAUUGAUGACAUACAAUUGCUCAUGAGGAAAGCUAUCAUCAAUAGGUUGUGGGUCAUCAAGGACAUUCUCCAACCUAGACAAGUUAUCUGCUACGGGGUUCUCAGCACCCUUCCUAUCAACAACAUGCAAAUCAAAUUCUUGUAGCAAGAGAACCCACCUGAUAAGUCUAGGUUUAGCAUCUUUCUUUUCCAUGAGAUACUUAAUAGCAGCAUGAUCAGUGUGAAUAGUAACCUUGGAAUCAACAAUAUAUGAUCUGAACUUUUCACAUGCAAACACGACUGCUAAAAAUUCCUUUUCAGUAGUAGCAUAGUUUCUUUGGACGCUGUCUAGAGUUUUACUAGCAUAAUGAAUAACAUUCAACUUCUUAUCAACUCUUUGUCCUAGAACAGCACCAACAGCAUAAUCACU